rnacentral:rRNA from 1 species
GAAUACGUCCCGGGCUACACGCGAGCUAACAAUUGGUUGGUACAAGUGGGUAUCCUAACCCGAAGGGACGGGAAUCUCCUAAAACCAAUCUUAGUUCGGAUUGAGGGCUGCAACUCGCCCUCAUGAAGCUGGAAUCCGUAGUAAUCGCGUUUCAACAGAACGCGGUGAAUACGUCCCUGCUCCUU